rnacentral:rRNA from 1 species
GAUGAACGCUAGCGGCAGGCCUAACACAUGCAAGUCGAGGGGCAGCACAGAAAGUGGUUUACCACUUUUGGUGGCGACCGGCGGACGGGUGCGUAACGCGUAUGCAACCUACCUUUAACAGGGGGAUAACGGAUGGAAACGUCCACUAACACCCCAUAACAUCUUGUAAGGCAUCUUACGGGGUUGAAAUCUCCGGAGGUUAAAGAUGGGCAUGCGUUGUAUUAGAUAGUUGGUGAGGUAACGGCUCACCAAGUCAACGAUACAUAGGGGGACUGAGAGGUUAGCCCCCCACACUGGUACUGAGACACGGACCAGACUCCUACGGGAGGCAGCAGUGAGGAAUAUUGGUCAAUGGGGGCAACCCUGAACCAGCCAUGCCGCGUGCAGGAAGACGGCUCUAUGAGUUGUAAACUGCUUUUAUACAGGGAUAAACCACAGUAUGUAUACUGUGUUGAAGGUACUGUAUGAAUAAGGAUCGGCUAACUCCGUGCCAGCAGCCGCGGUAAUACGGAGGAUCCAAGCGUUAUCCGGAUUUAUUGGGUUUAAAGGGUGCGUAGGCGGAAUAUUAAGUUAGAGGUGAAAACCCGUGGCUCAACCACGGACGUGCCUCUGAUACUGGUAAUCUAGAGAGUAGAUGCGGUAGGCGGAAUGUGUGGUGUAGCGGUGAAAUGCUUAGAGAUCACACAGAACACCGAUUGCGAAGGCAGCUUACCAAUCUAUAUCUGACGUUGAGGCACGAAAGCGUGGGUAGCAAACAGGAUUAGAUACCCUGGUAGUCCACGCAGUAAACGAUGAUAGCUCGUUGUCGGCGAUACACAGUCGGUGACUUAGCGAAAGCGUUAAGCUAUCCACCUGGGGAGUACGUUCGCAAGAAUGAAACUCAAAGGAAUUGACGGGGGCCCGCACAAGCGGAGGAACAUGUGGUUUAAUUCGAUGAUACGCGAGGAACCUUACCCGGGCUUGAAAGUUAGUGACAGGAGUGGAAACACUCUCUCCCUUCGGGGCACAAAACUAGGUGCUGCAUGGUUGUCGUCAGCUCGUGCCGUGAGGUGUCGGAUUAAGUUCCAUAACGAGCGCAACCCUUGCCGUUAGUUGCCAUCAGGUCAAGCUGGGCACUCUAACGGGACUGCCGGUGUAAACCGUGAGGAAGGUGGGGAUGACGUCAAAUCAGCACGGCCCUUACGUCCGGGGCGACACACGUGUUACAAUGGUCGGUACAGAGGGCAGCUACCCAGCGAUGGGAUGCGAAUCUCGAAAGCCGAUCUCAGUUCGGAUCGGAGGCUGAAACUCGCCUCCGUGAAGUUGGAUUCGCUAGUAAUCGCGCAUCAGCCAUGGCGCGGUGAAUACGUUCCCGGGC